GUCUCUUCCAACUCUAUGAUUCUAUGAUUCUAUGAAAUGUACCCUUUCCUCACAGACAAGUCAGAACCCUGGAAUUGUAGAGUUGGAAGGGAC